rnacentral:rRNA from 1 species
AGUAACACGUGGAUAACCUACCUAUAAGACUGGGAUAACUUCGGGAAACCGUAGCUAAUACCGGAUAAUAUUUUGAACCGCAUGGUUCAAAAGUGAAAGACGGUCUUGCUGUCACUUAUAGAUGGAUCCGCGCUGCAUUAGCUAGUUGGUAAGGUAACGGCUUACCAAGGCAACGAUGCAUAGCCGACCUGAGAGGAUGAUCGGCCACACUGGAACUGAGACACGGUCCAG